rnacentral:rRNA from 1 species
AUACGGAGGAUGCAAGCGUUAUCCGGAUUUAUUGGGUUUAAAGGGUGCGUAGGCGGUUUGCUAAGCGGGAGGUGAAAUGCCGGCGCUCAACGUCGGAAGUGCCUCCCGAACUGGUGGACUUGAAUGACUCUGCCGUGGGAGGAAUGUGUAGUGUAGCGGUGAAAUGCUUAGAGAUUACACAGAACACCGAUUGCGAAGGCAUCUCACGAAGGGUUGAUUGACGCUGAGGCACGAAAGCGUGGGGAUCAAACAGGAUUAGAUACCCUGGUAGUCCACGCAGUAAACGAUGAUGGCUAACCGCUGGGCUUAUCAGUUCAGUGGCCAAGCGAAAGCGAUAAGCCAUUCACCUGGGGAGUACGACCGCAAGGUUGAAACUCAAAUGAAUUGACGGGG